rnacentral:rRNA from 1 species
UACGGGGGGGGCAAGCGGUUGUUCGGAAUUACUGGGCGUAAAGGGCUCGGUAGGCGGCCCUCUCAGUCGGACGUGAAAUCCCUCGGCUUAACCGGGGAAUGGCGUCCGAUACUGGAGGGCUCGAGUGUGGGAGAGGGAUGCGGAAUUGCCAGGUGUAGCGGUCGAAAUGGCGUAGAUAAUCUGGAGGAACACCCGUGGCUAAGGCGGCCUCUCUAGUACGGUACUGACGCUGAGACGCGAAAGCGUGGGGAGCGAAACAGG